rnacentral:rRNA from 1 species
UACGGAGGGUGCAAGCGUUAUCCGGAUUCACUGGGUUUAAAGGGUGCGUAGGUGGGCAGGUAAGUCAGUGGUGAAAUCUCCGGGCUUAACCCGGAAACUGCCAUUGAUACUAUCAGUCUUGAAUACCGUGGAGGUAAGCGGAAUAUGUCAUGUAGCGGUGAAAUGCUUAGAUAUGACAUAGAACACCAAUUGCGAAGGCAGCUUACUACCCGAAUAUUGACACUGAGGCACGAAAGCGU